rnacentral:rRNA from 1 species
GCUGUGAGAGGAAUCGACCCCUUUCGUGGCGGAGCUAACGCGAUAAACGUGCCGCCUGGGGAGUACGGUCGCAAGAUUAAAACUCAAAGAAAUUGACGGGGGCCUGCACAAGCGGUGGAGUAUGUGGCUCAAUUCGAUGCAACGCGAAGAACCUUACCUGGCCUUGACAUGCAUGUGGUAGAAGCCCGAAAGGGUAACGACCCCGCAAGGGGAGCUUGCACAGGUGCUGCAUGGCUGUCGUCAGCUCGUGUCGUGAGAUGUUGGGUUAAGUCCCGCAACGAGCGCAACCCUUGCGUCCUGUUGCCACCCCUACGAGAGUAGGGAGCACUCUGGACGGACUGCCUCGCUUCAACGGGGAGGAAGGUGGGGAUGACGUCAAGUCAGUAUGGCCCUUACGGCCAGGGCUGCACACGUACUACAAUGCCCGGCACAGAGGGAUGCCAAACCGGAAGGUGGAGCAAAUCUCCCAAAAACCGGGCCCAGUUCAGAUUGAGGUCUGCAACUCGACCUCAUGAAGUUGGAAUCGCUAGUAAUGGCGCAUCAGCUACGGCGCCGUGAAUACGUUCCCAGGCCUUGUACACACCGCCCGUCACAUCAUGAAAGCCGGUUGUACCCGAAGUCCAUGUAGAAACCGCAAGGAUCUAGUGGCCGAAGGUAUGGCUGGUGAUUGGGAUG